CUCGAGCACAUGGCUCUAUAUUUUAUAUAUAUACUCCCUUCACUAAAAUCUCGAGCACAUGGCUCUAAAUUUAAAAUCCUGAACAUAAUAUAAUAACAGUUUUUAACAAGGAUAAUAAAAUAAAACCACAAAGUACAAUUAUUAAAAAGUUAAAAUUCUAAGAAAUUAUACUUAAAGACUUACUCAAUUAUUUAUAUUUUUUCACUCAUUAAAAAUCUUUUCGGCAAGAUUGUUUCUAAAAAUUGUCCACUCAUUCGAACUGCUAAUAGUUGUGAUAGUGCCUUCCAUUGGUUCAUUUUUCGCCCCAACUCAAAUGGAUCAUUGGGCAUUUGAGUUGGGGCUUGAUGAUUGCCAGCACUUCAGUAGUUAAAUUAGAAGCUGUUUCUUUGCGCAGUACUUGGCAAGAGAUGCCUAACAGCUGAAAAAUUUUCACUGUUAAAGCAAAGUACAGAGAAUUUAUAUGAAGAAAUACUAAAGUCGAACAUUCUUCUAGCUCUUCUUACCCUAUAGUGUGGGGCUUACAUAUCCCACAACUACAACCACGGCUGCUCGACUUUUUACCUCCCUGUCCAGAACUUUUCGGAUUAAGCAUCCUUUUAAGACCUCUCCAAUAAGAUCUACCUGAUAUCCAAACACAAAAAAUCAGAUUAUAAUUCUACUUUUCGUCAAAGUGUGAAUAAAUGACUAUCUUUCAUAUAAAGACACAUGUUUUUCAUUGCAUAACCCUUCAUAAUCAUCUAGAUAACCAUUCAAUGAGACCUUAAGCUUUGAAUCUGAAAUUAUAAUCCAAAUUAAGAAACUAAAUGAAUCUUAUAAUAAGAACUCAACUAAUAUAAAGAAGUUUCACAAGAGCCCAAUCAAGUAAUUCUCUUGUAUGGUCAUCGAAUCCAAUUCCCACCAAAACAUUCUUCUUUUUAACGUUCUCAACUGUCAUUCUGCUAAUUCACUGAUGAAUUAUGUUCACAAAAUUUCCGAGUUCAAACCAUCUAAAUUUGCAUAACUUUUGCAAAUAUAAUAUAAUCAAUUUGAAUGAUCAUGGAAAUCUCUGUUGCAGGAAACAACAGCCCUCUUUUCCUUUAAUUAAUACCGAUGAAUCAAACCAAUAAGACAAAUAUAAUACUCCACAAUACUCCCCUAUACAUUCAAGAAAUAUCCAUUAUCAAAUUACAAUUAAAAGAUUCAAUCUUUAGAUUCUAAACAAUUUAAAUUCAAAUUCUCAUAGCCCACCAAGAAUUAAUAAUCAAAAGUAAGACCCAGAAAGUGCCAAUUAUUCACAAAUCACAAUGUGUUCUCAUACAUGGUGCCAAGAAUACAUUGUGAGCCAUUACCAAGAAACAAGCUUCUGAGUCCAGUGAUCUUCCAUGAGGGCCGUUAAGUUCAAAAACCUACACCAAUUGUUGUGCUUUUAAUCUUCUUAUAGAUGCCAAUAGGCAUAAUUCUUAUUGAUGCCAAUAGGCAUAAUUCUGAGAGUUCAUGAAGUGGAAAACCCACUGCUGCAACGCACUUGAGCAUUUCCACAAACAGGUAGUGAGCCUUAUAUAAAUGGCAAACACAUUUAAUUUAAUAUAAUACAAUAUAUUUUUAAAAAUCAGAUGCAGUUUAAGUUAAUCACAUGAAUCAUGAUCAACCUAUUACCAAAUAACGAGCGAUUACUGUCAAAACUCAUAUAUCCAAAAUCAAAAUUAAUUGAGCACCAAAAUCACCACAUAUCAUUCAGGUCUGACAUUAGAUGUCUUACCAAAUUGAAAAAGAGAGCAAAGGAAGAAAAGUUACCCUAGAAAAUAAUAAUCAAUUUCAGAGGAUAGAUGUAGGAGAUAGAGGAGAUAGAGAGAGAGAGAAAUGAACGAAGACGAG
rnacentral:lncRNA from 1 species